AGGGGUGCGGCCGGGUGGAAACAAAACAGAAAUCUGGUAGGAAAGAACAUUGAAUAUUAGAAACAUAAAGCCUUUUAAAAAUCCAUUUCACCUGUCACUAUUUUUGUUGUUUGGUUUUUGCAUUUCUCUCAAUGCUGACAAGGGAAAUAAAUAAAGUCAGUUCCACCUUUGUUUACAGUCAGGUUCGCAGGGCUGUGAAGUUUGGGUUGCAAACACUGCAGAGUAACCUUUAUUUGUUUGAAAACCCAAACUGUUUCCAUUGGAAUGCUCAGAAAAAUGCAUCCCAAAUCUCUCUUCUGGCCUUGUUUUUACAAAUCUAAUCUUGGGUCAAAAUUUGAGUUGUGUGGUGGAUCACUGUUCUCUCCCACAAACAACCUUUGUUCUGUGUCAUAGCUUUCAGAAGUUGGCACGUAUUCCAUAGUAAUAAAGUCUGCCCCUGCUACCAGAGGAUCUGAACCUGCAAACACUUACACACAAGUUUAAUUUUACACAGAAACUUCUCUUUUGGGGCAAGAGGAACUUGUUUAACACUAACUACAAUAAUUUAUCCAAGUUAAAAGGGACUGUUUGGGUACUAGCAGGACACCAGAACAUUCUUGGAAAAGUUUGAAUUUCAGAGUAGUGUCCCAACUGAUCCAGGUGUCUCUCAAAGGCCAGAAGAGCUAUCAGGAUCUUGUCAAGGAAAAGAAAGAAAUAUUCCUGGCAUCGCCAACUCUAGAGCUGAGAUGGGAAAAAAAAGCAGAUGACAUCACCAUAAGGAGGGAGAAAUGAUCUUCAGAUGGACAGGCUGGGAAGGAAGAGAGAUUCUUCUUCCUCUUUCAGAUUGGGAGGCAACAGAUGCUAAGACCACCCAUGAUACAGUAGCUGAAGGUUCUGUGGAGAUAACAUUACCAUGUAUUUUUGAGAAAAAAAUGGAAGUUUCCAGCCCUCCCGCUUGCAGAGAGAAAUCUGAAACCGUGAGCUGAGCACAGAAAUGAGAAAGAGCAAGGACAGGCUUAGAAAUGAAGUGAAGAAAAAGCACCCAUUUAAAAAUGGGUUUGAAGGUGGGGUU